UCGUGGAGUGAUUUGUCUGCUUAAUUGCGAUAACGAACGAGACCUUAACCUGCUAAAUAGCCCGCGCCGCUCCGGCGGCGCGCCGGCUUCUUAGAGGGACUAUCGGCUCAAGCCGAUGGAAGUUUGAGGCAAUAACA
rnacentral:rRNA from 1 species